GAAAUUCCUUGUCGGGUAAGUUCCGACCUGCACGAAUGGCGUAACGAUGGCCACACUGUCUCCUCCUGAGACUCAGCGAAGUUGAAAUGUUUGUGAUGAUGCAAUCUCCCCGCGGAAAGACGGAAAGACCCCAUGAACCUUUACUGUAGCUUUGUAUUGGACUUUGAACAGAUCUGUGUAGGAUAGGUGGGAGGCUUUGAAGCAGGGUCGCUAGAUCUUGUGGAGCCAACGUUGAAAUACCACCCUGGUGUGUUUGAGGUUCUAACCUAGGUCCAUUAUCUGGAUCGGGGACAGUGCAUGGUAGGCAGUUUGACUGGGGCGGUCUCCUCCCAAAGCGUAACGGAGGAGUUCGAAGGUACGCUAGUUACGGUCGGACAUCGUGACGAUAGUGCAAUGGCAUAAGCGUGCUUAACUGCGAGACUGACAAGUCGAGCAGAUGCGAAAGCAGGACAUAGUGAUCCGGUGGUUCUGUAUGGAAGGGCCAUCGCUCAACGGAUAAAAGGUACUCUGGGGAUAACAGGCUGAUACCGCCCAAGAGUUCAUAUCGACGGCGGUGUUUGGCACCUCGAUGUCGGCUCAUCUCAUCCUGGGGCUGUAGCCGGUCCCAAGGGUAUGGCUGUUCGCCAUUUAAAGAGGUACGUGAGCUGGGUUUAAAACGUCGUGAGACAGUUUGGUCCCUAUCUUCCGUGGGCGCUGCAGAUUUGAGGAAGCCUGCUCCUAGUACGAGAGGACCGGAGUGGACACACCUCUGGUGUAUCGGUUGUCACGCCAGUGGCAUUGCCGAGUAGCUAAGUGUGGAAGAGAUAACCGCUGAAAGCAUCUAAGCGGGAAACUCGUUUCAAGAUGAGAUCUGCCGGGGCCUUGAGCCCCCUAAAGAGUCGUUCAAGACCAGGACGUUGAUAGGUCAGGUGUGGAAGCGCAGUAAUGCGUUAAGCUAACUGAUACUAAUUGCUCGUGCGGCUUGACCCU
rnacentral:rRNA from 1 species